AUAUAUAUACAAUCUGUGAUAAUGCAAAUAAUCAAGUAAAUCAAUCACAAAUUAUUCUCACCUCUUCUCUGCUCUUUUCCAUUCAUACUUUCCUUUCCAAUCUCAAAUUCUUUUGCGUACGUAUACCUAAAACAAUGGUUCACAAGGCCUGCGUUGUCUGCAUGAUUCCCUUCAUUGUAUUGCUAUUGCUCUCAUCCAAAACAGACUUGGCCAAUGAUUCUGAUGAUCCAAUACACAAGAAAGUGACGACCAGUAGGCGGUAUUUGCAAAUAAAGAUUGGCAUGGCGAA